UCGCUUAUAUGGACACUAGGUGAGGUGA
rnacentral:piRNA from 1 species